AAUAUUUGAAAUUCAAUGUUAAAAAUAAACGUGAAAAAAAACAUUAUUUACAAGAUACUGAUAUGUAUGGUAGGAUUUAUAGUCUGGUUUUUGCUGACUUGUCCUGAAAUAAACAUAGAGAGUGUACGGAUCUGGCAAAAUUGUGAUGAUGAUCAAAUUUAUAUACUGUCAGCAGUAGCUGAGCCAAAAUUGAUAUGGAAUUUAGUUGAAUAUAUAGUACUUAACGUACUUGACGGAUCUGUGGGCAUUACGUUUGACUGUUGUAUUUAAGGAAGGAAACAUGAGACGGCCUACAGAACAAUGGCACACAUCAAACACAAAUACACAGUUGAUAAGAGGGAUGUCAAAAUGUUUGCCACAUAGUAUUAUUGCAGCUGUCAGGAUAUAAACUUUAAACCAUUGCACAUAAUGUUAAUAGAAAGGCAUGCAAUUUGCAACCCUGGAGCAAAAAUGAAUACUGUAUUAUACCCAGAAAUGAAGGAAAAUUCGACAGCAAUAUGUACCAAAGUUGCUUUUAAUUAUCUCAAUCCAAAACACCUUAUAGAGUGGUUUGAAUAUCAGAAGCUAAUGGGUGUUGACACAGUGCUAAUAAUGUUACAGACCUUGAACUCUGAAGCUUACGCAGUUUUUAAGCACUACGAAAUGGAAGGAAUUGUUCAGUUGCUGUCAUUCCCAGAUGUUUUACCGGGAUGCAUUGAUCGUGGGUUUGACAAAAACCGGUGGCAUAUGUUUCAAAGUGUUCAUGAUGAGCAACUUGCAGUCUUUACAUGUGAACAACUUCUACAGGGAUUCGCUUUUGUUGCAGUAAUUGAUUUUGACGAAUUUAUCAUACAUGACGAAUUCAUGACAUACUCAGAGUUUUUAAAGACUUGGUAAUUUCUGGAACUGGAAACAUGACAAAUAUAUUCGACGCACUAAUACAAGAUAUGAAUCUUACAAAAUCCUAUAUGAAACAUAUCCGACGCACUCAUCCACGAUAUCAACGUUACAAAUACAUAUAUCUUCCAAGAAGGACCAAAACAUUAGAUACGUAUACGAUACACCCAAAGAAGGGAUAUAAGAGGAUUGAACUAACAUCACACAGUGUUGUCCUUCACCAUUACAGGAAUAGUCCGUCUAACUUUUAGUGGAAAUUCUGUUUAAGAUACACAAAGACCUUGGAUUUCAAAAUGUUAAAGAGUAUGCCCGUAUUAUAUUAUCACGUUGAAAUUGCUAUGAGGGAAAUUGGGAUCAUCUAUAACACAGAUCAUGUAUUCAGAAAUAUCAGAGUUUCAUUAAAGUAUUUUUUAGUU